rnacentral:lncRNA from 1 species
AUUUCCUCAGUUUGGAAAAAAAGGAGUAAAAAUAUAUUUUGCUUAUUUAAUCUUCUCAGUGCAUCUUGAAUAUCCUGAGUCAGGUGUUUGAAGCUUUUAUUGAUUCUACAGCAGAAGUGAACUUUCCACACUGACAUGGAGACAGCUGCAAGCAGGAACUGCAAAAUGGAAAACCUUCCUAGAGGAAAAAUAGAAAACUAAGAAAUGAGCUUUCUAAAAUCACCAAUCAAAAUGAAAAACAGCUUCAGCGAAGGAGGAUGAGAGCAGGUCACCUCACCUAAAUGAUACUGGAUGCCAUAACAUCACCAUAACAGUGAUCCCAAAGGAUUUAAUCAGAUUACAGAAAAGAAAUAUGAAUUGGGGAACGACAUCAGAUGGAGGACCAGUAUGGAGGUAUCAGACAGCGCUGAGAAACAGGAUCUGCUGGGUUGCUGGCCAGAGUUGGGCACAUGUGAAAAGUUUUAAGGUGCAACACUUAUCAUCCAGCAUAAACAGAACGAGACGACUGGAGAUAAAAGCAUCAUACAGCCAACCCAGGACAAUAAGCAGCCAUGAAAGCAAGGUGAAGAAUUGCUUAAUGCUGCUCCAGUGCUUGAAAUGGAAAAG